UAGUAAAUAUAAAUACAAACAUUAAAAAAAAACCUAAUUCUAUUUCACAAGUCAAAGGCGUUAAACACACAAAUCGCGAUUUACACAAACAAGACAAACCCUAGCUGUGCCGCCGCUGCCGCCUUCCGCCUUCCGCCUUCCGCUGUCCCGCAAGCAAGUCAAACAACUCUCGGCUGGGUUCGCCACCGUCGCAAGGUCGGUUCGCUGUCGUCGCAAGGUUGGGUUCACGGUUCGUCGCAGCUCGUUUGGUUCACCAGAAUCACCACCGUCGCAUGCUUGCAGCAGUGCAGUUACUCAAUUCGUUUGAUUCACCGGCGUGAGUAGCUGUUAUACUCUGUUUUAUGUGAUUUGUGCUAUGUGAUUUAUGAUAUUGAUUUGUGUUGUGUUAUACUGUUGUGAACACCACUGAUUUAUGUGAUUUGUGCUAUGUGAUUUGUGAUAUUGAUUUGUGUUGUGUUAUACACUUAUACUGCCGUGAACACCAAUAAUUUAUGCUUGAAAUGUUGUUGAUUGUUGGUGUUAAUAAAUUCGAAAUUGUAUAUUUCAAAUGUUAGAAAGCUGUUACAGUUAAAAAUAAAUUGUUGUUGUUAAUGGAUUUGUUGCUGUUAAUAGAUUCGAAAUUGUAUAUUUCAAAUGUUAGAAAGCUGUUACAGUUAAAAAUAAAUUGUUGUUAUUAAUGGAUUUGUUGCUGUUAAUAGAUUCGAAAAUGUAUUUUUGAAAUGUUAGAACUUAGAACAUUUUUACAGACUUACAGUAAAAAAAAUAAAUAUAAAAUGGAAGAAAUUGGAGGAAUGAUUGGUUAGUUUAAUUUGUUUUGACAUAAUUCUUGUAGGGUGUUAAAUUCGUAAUGGAAAAUGAACAAAGGUAUGGAAAAUUUAUUUAUUACAUAAAAUAAAUUAAUUUGUUAUAGUAUCAAUUUACUACUAACUAACUAUUUUGUUUCUUAUUUUUAUGAUUUAUUCAUGUUUUUUAGAUGGAAUUCCAGAGAAGCAAUACUUUCUGCAGAACAGCUUAUUGAUGAAAGUUUGAUGAGUGAGUUGUGAACAACAAUGAGUCAAGUGAAGAAGAAUAGAAAAUGAUGGAGAAAAGUUUAAACUUUGGAUUUGUGGUUUUUAAUUUGAACUUUGAAUUGUAGACUUGUGUAAUUGUGUUAUGGAUUUAUAUUUGUGGCUGUUUUAUUACUUGAAACAGCCAUUUGAAUUGUAGAGUUUGCAAACUAGCUGUUUGAAUUGUAGAGUUUGCAGAGAGUUGAUUAAUUGUGAUUUGUGAGCACUAGACUAUUAUGCCAUAAUUGUGAUUUGUUGUUUAAGUCUUAAUUAUUAAGUGCUGGGAUGGCCUUUGAAACAUUGAGAAUUUGAGAUAUUGUGAUUUCUGAAGAGUGAUUACUUCUGUCAAUGUUUAGGAGUUAGUUUAAAGCUUGUUGGUCAUCGUGCAAAGUAUGGAUUGUAUGGUUAUCUUGAUGAUGUUGGUGGUAGACAAUUAUAUAGGUUUAGAAACUUCAUGUGGUAGAGAAAAGCUUGGGGACAUUCUCCAAUCCUCUAAGCUAUGUUGCAGGGGCUGUUUGUCCAGUUUUGACCUCAUCUUUUUGUUUCUAUUAAUAUUUCCUUUAGUUACAUUAGUUGUGUUUUGGUUCUAUCACUGAUAAUGAAAGUGAAAUUUGAAAUUUCAUUAUUGAUCCGGGUUCAAAACCCGGAAUCCGGGAACCCGGAUUUUUCCGGGUUGAACCCGAACCCGGACCCGGAUGGAAAAAAUCGGGUUUUAAUCCGGGUCUGGGAGAAAGAAAAUGACGUUCGGGUCCGGAACCGGGAAGGCUAAACCCGGACCCGGUCCCGGAUUUUGCCAUCCCUAGUCCCAACCAAGGCGAGGUGCAUAUGGACAUAUCAAACCUUGAGGUGCAUCAAAGUGUUUCUAACUUGCAAGAUCCCUAUAGAUGGUGCUAAUGAAGGAGUUAAAAUUUUUUACUUUCACACGAAUUUGUAGUUGUAGAGAACCUGGCAGUGUUGAUUGAUUUUGGAGCCGACAUGGGUACCUGCAAAAGACACUUUGAUGUCCAAGUUAGUGUUUGGCUAACGCCAAGAAAGAAGAAAGAGGAGGAAGAAGAAAUUGGGAGAAGAUGAGUUUUACCCUUGUAGUGGACACUAUCCUCACAAUAGCGAAAGACUCCUUUCUUUAGAGAUGACCCUCUAUUUAUAGAAGAUGAUAGGGUGCUCACGGAUUAGAUUUUGUAGAUUGUAUAUCAAUUCAUAUCCGAUCCAUGAUUUUGCAUAUUAUAGAUUUUCUAUCCAAUCCAAUCCACAUAUUAAUGAAAUUCAAUCCAAAUCUAAUCUAUACAUCUAUGGAGGGGAUGCAAAUUUUUAUACUAUUUUUAUAUUAGAUUUGAUCCAUUUUGUGGAUUAAAAUUUUUAUUUCUAUCCAAUCCAUGAACUAAUUAAAUAAAAAAAUCUAAUAUAAAAUAAUUUCCUACCGAACAAAUUCAAAACUAGAUAAAAUUUAAAUGAAUUUUAAAAUAUAACAUACCGAAAAGAAAAAAAUCUCAUUUGUUUAGAUCAAUACAUGAAAAUUAGCUAAAACUAUGAAUUUAAAUUUAUUCAAAAGUUAAAACUUGAGAGCUUGGAUGAUCUGUCAAAAUGUUCAUCUCCAAUUUAUAUUUCCUAUUUUAAUCUGAACAAUAAAAAAAAUUUAUUUAAUAAAAAUAUUUAAUGAAUAUUUACCCUUACUAUCCCAUCAAAUGCUAUCAAACUUUAUCAAAUAUAUUCUUGUCAGCUCCCAAAAUCUUUGUAUGUAUAAGACAAAAAAAAUGUCAAUUGAAAAAAUAGAUAACAAUACGAAGUCAAAUAAUAAUCAAUAAAAAGAAUUAAAGUUAAGUUGUCACAUCUACCUCUCUGAAUAUGUUGAAUCUCUAUUCCUUCGUCAAGGUUUAUCAGAGUUAAAUGUAAUCAAUUUUGUGUGUAAAUUAGUGCCUCCACCCUCUUUGUACAUAGUGAGCACCGAAAUGAAUCAAUCACACGACCACCAAUACUAAAUCUGAUAAGUGUAUAUUUUCUCUAGAUUUUACUAUUAAUUUCUCCAUCUUUUUUCUUGUUUUGGUCUUAAAUAUUUUUGUUAUUUUUGUUAGUUUUUAAUUUAGUAUUUUAUUUUGAUUUAAUUUAAAUUUUUCACCUUUAGUUUAAAUUAUAAUUCACCUUACUUAGUUGAUAAUAAUUGCUUUUUUCAAAUGUUUAAUUAUUCUUAAUUUUGUUUUUUAAUAUAGGUGAAAAAUUCAAAAAGAGAAAGUUGGAAUUUGGUUGGGUUGAAAAUGCAUAUUUGGGGGAAUAUUUACAUUGAUUGAGCUAAAAUAAAAAAUUAAUUGGAGUUUAAGAGAAAUAAUUGAAGAUUUUUGGAAGCCAAGAAAACCAAAGUCAAUAAAUUAAUUCAUCCAUGCACAUGCAGACAAAGAAGUUAUGGCCAUCACGUGGAGACUAAAGAAGAAAUUGAGUUUAAUUCAAGGGUUCGCUUGUAGUACGAGGUUGUAUCUCGUGCAGCCGCUUUUUAUUAUUUUUUUAAUUGAUUUUAUAACCGGCCACCGGUUGCCCCUUGUUUUCAUGGGUUAUAGUGGAAAAUAUUAAUGGUAAAUAUCAUAUAGCUACCCUCAUUUUAAGUAAAUGACAAAAUAAUCAAUUUAAAUUAUGAAACUACCGAAUACCCCCUCAACUUUACAUUAAAAUUCAUUUAAAAAAUAAGAUUUCU
rnacentral:lncRNA from 1 species